UUUGAGAACUGACAGUUCACAGCAUGGUCCCAUUGGUGCAGGAAGUUCCCCUUGCAGGAGGCUAAGCCUCUUCCUGGGGGCGACUCAUGCACUAUAUCUGGCUGAUGUUGGGGUAUGGGAAGUUUGGCUGCCUUGCUGAAUUCAAGUUAAGUCUCAAAUCUUCUGAGCUCCAGAAGCUCCCACCUGCUCAGCUGAGGCUGUGGCUAUGACUGCAGCACAGCUCUGCUUCUCCUUUCUCAUCCUGCUUCUCUCUCUCCCUCACAAGGGUUGUUUUUGAGAGUUUUCUCCAAUCAACCUCCUGCGAGGAAGCUUUGUCUCAAGAUCUGCUUUCUGGUGAAGCUGACCCGAGACAUCUCUGACUAUAUGCCCACAACUGCUGUGACAAAACACAGAUACUUGACUGAAGCUCAGUUAUCAGUACUGAGCAGAGAACUGAAAAUAAAUGCCUACUGAUAAGAAGUCAGUGCCAUCAUUCCAAAUGCAUUAGCUGGUCUUCAGAUUAUAAUUUCAAUGUUUGUAAAUAAAUACUUGG
rnacentral:lncRNA from 1 species